rnacentral:siRNA from 1 species
GGGCGUGGACCGACGCGGA